rnacentral:rRNA from 1 species
UACGGGGGGGGUAAGCGUUGUUCGGAAUUACUGGGCGUAAAGGGCUCGUAGGCGGCCAACUAAGUCAUACGUGAAAUCCCUCAGCUUAACUGGGGAACUGCGUGUGAUACUGGAUGGCUUGGAUUUGGGAGAGGGAUGCGGAAUUCCAGGUGUAGCGGUGAAAUGCGCAGAUAUCAGGAAGAACACCCGUGGCGAAGGCGGCUCUCUGGGACGGUACUGACGCUGAGACGCGAAAGCGUGGGGAGCGAACAGG